GGGGGCAUAGCUCAGGGGUAGAGCAUCUGUUUUGCACGCAGAGGGUCAAGGGUUCGAUUCCCUUUGCCUCCACCA
rnacentral:tRNA from 2 species